rnacentral:rRNA from 1 species
UACGUAGGGACCGAGCGUUGUCCGGAUUCAUUGGGCGUAAAGAGCUCGUAGGCGGCUGCUCAAGUCGAAUGUGAAAACUCGAGGCUCAACCUCGAGCCUGCAUUCGAUACUGGGCGGCUAGAGUCUGGUAGGGGGAUCUGGAAUUCCUGGUGUAGCGGUGGAAUGCGCAGAUAUCAGGAGGAACACCGGUGGCGAAGGCGGAUCUCUGGGCCUUACCUGACGCUGAGGAGCGAAAGCAUGGGGAGCAAACAGG